rnacentral:rRNA from 1 species
UACAGAGGGUGCAAGCGUUGUUCGGAAUUAUUGGGCGUAAAGCGCGUGUAGGCGGCCCGGUAAGUCCGCUGUGAAAGUCGGGGGCUCAACCCUCGGAUGCCGGUGGAUACUGUCGGGCUAGAGUGCGGAAGAGGCGAGUGGAAUUCCUGGUGUAGCGGUGAAAUGCGCAGAUAUCAGGAGGAACACCAAUUGCGAAGGCAGCUCGCUGGGACGUUACUGACGCUGAGACGCGAAAGCGUGGGGAGCAAACAGG